rnacentral:tRNA from 1 species
GGGUACGUAGCUCAGAAGGUUAGAGCACAUCACUCAUAAUGAUGGGGUCACAGGUUCGAAUCCCGUCGGAGCCACCA